GAUGAACGCUGGCGGCGUGCCUAAUACAUGCAAGUCGAACGAACAGUCGUGGUUCUUGCUCCUCUGUCGUUAGCGGCGUACUGGUGAGUAACACCUGGAUAACCUACCGAUAAGACUGGCAUAACUGCGGGAAACCGGACCGAAAACCGGAGAAUUUAUUAAACCGCAGGGUUCAAUAUUGAAAUAGGGUUUGGCUGUGGCUUAUGGAUGGUUCCCAGCCGCGUUAGCUAGUUGGUAAGGUAAGGUCUUACCACGGCGACGAGUCGUAGCGGACAUGAGAGGGUGAUUGGCCACCCUGGAACUGCGACCCGGUCCAGACGACUACGGGCGGCAGCCGUAGGGAAUCUUCCGCCAUGAGCGAAAGAUUGACGGCGCAACGCCGCGUGAGUGAUGAAGGUCUCCGGAUCGUAAAACUAUGUUAUCAGGGAAGAAAAAAUGUGUAAGUAACUAUGACCGUAUUGAGGGUACCUAAUGAGAAAGCCAGGGCUAACUACGUG
rnacentral:rRNA from 1 species